GCGUCCCUACGGGGCGCAGCAGUGGGGAAUAUUGGACAAUGGGGGGAACCCUGAUCCAGCGACGCCGCGUGAGUGAAGAAGUAUUUCGGUAUGUAAAGCUCUAUCAGCAGGGAAGAAAGAAAUGACGGUACCUGACUAAGAAGCCCCGGCUAACUACGUGCCAGCAGCAGCGGUAAUACGUAGGGGGCAAGCGUUAUCCGGAUUUACUGGGUGUAAAGGGAGCGUAGACGGCGAUGCAAGUCUGAAGUGAAAGGCGGGGGCCCAACCUCAGGAGUGCUUUGGAAACUGUAUGGCUGGAGUGCAGG
rnacentral:rRNA from 1 species